AGAGUUUGAUCCUGGCUCAGAUUGAACGCUGGCGGCAUGCCUUACACAUGCAAGUCGAACGGUAACAGGUUAAGCUGACGAGUGGCGAACGGGUGAGUAAUAUAUCGGAACGUGCCCAGUCGUGGGGGAUAACUGCUCGAAAGAGCAGCUAAUACCGCAUACGACCUGAGGGUGAAAGCGGGGGAUCGCAAGACCUCGCGCGAUUGGAGCGGCCGAUAUCAGAUUAGCUAGUUGGCGGGGUAAAAGCCCACCAAGGCGACGAUCUGUAGCUGGUCUGAGAGGACGACCAGCCACACUGGGACUGAGACACGGCCCAGACUCCUACGGGAGGCAGCAGUGGGGAAUUUUGGACAAUGGACGCAAGUCUGAUCCAGCCAUGCCGCGUGUGGGAAGAAGGCCUUCGGGUUGUAAACCACUUUUGUCAGGGAAGAAACGGUCUAGGUUAAUACCUUGGGCUAAUGACGGUACCUGAAGAAUAAGCACCGGCUAACUACGUGCCAGCAGCCGCGGUAAUACGUAGGGUGCAAGCGUUAAUCGGAAUUACUGGGCGUAAAGCGUGCGCAGGCGGUUAUGCAAGACAGAUGUGAAAUCCCCGGGCUCAACCUGGGAACUGCAUUUGUGACUGCAUGGCUAGAGUACGGUAGAGGGGGAUGGAAUUCCGCGUGUAGCAGUGAAAUGCGUAGAUAUGCGGAGGAACACCGAUGGCGAAGGCAAUCCCCUGGACCUGUACUGACGCUCAUGCACGAAAGCGUGGGGAGCAAACAGGAUUAAAUACCCUGGUAGUCCACGCCCUAAACGAUGUCAACUGGUUGUUGGGAGGGUUUCUUCUCAGUAACGUAGCUAACGCGUGAAGUUGACCGCCUGGGGAGUACGGCCGCAAGGUUGAAACUCAAAGGAAUUGACGGGGACCCGCACAAGCGGUGGAUGAUGUGGUUUAAUUCGAUGCAACGCGAAAAACCUUACCUACCCUUGACAUGUCAGAGAUCCCGAAGAGAUUUGGGAGUGCUCGAAAGAGAAUCUGAACACAGGUGCUGCAUGGCCGUCGUCAGCUCGUGUCGUGAGAUGUUGGGUUAAGUCCCGCAACGAGCGCAACCCUUGUCAUUAGUUGCUACGAAAGGGCACUCUAAUGAGACUGCCGGUGACAAACCGGAGGAAGGUGGGGAUGACGUCAGGUCAUCAUGGCCCUUAUGGGUAGGGCUACACACGUCAUACAAUGGCCGGGCCAGAGGGCUGCCAACCCGCGAGGGGGAGCUAAUCCCAGAAACCCGGUCGUAGUCCGGAUCGUAGUCUGCAACUCGACUGCGUGAAGUCGGAAUCGCUAGUAAUCGCGGAUCAGCUUGCCGCGGUGAAUACGUUCCCGGGUCUUGUACACACCGCCCGUCACACCAUGGGAGCGGGUUCUGCCAGAAGUAGUUAGCCUAACCGCAAGGGGGGCGAUUACCACGGCAGGGUUCGUGACUGGGGUGAAGUCGGAACAAGGUAGCCGUAUCGGGAGGUGCGGCUG
rnacentral:rRNA from 1 species